GAAGCACCUGUGGCCACAAGAGGGGCCAGACAAGGGCUGGGGGAGCAUGUCUGUGACCCAGCUUAAGUCCGGGUUGCACCGUGCCCCCUCCCAAGGCAACAAGAAAAUACACCCUCUCCAGCAUUUGUCUGUGGUUUCCUUGGCCCUCAGUAGUUGAGUUUUUGGAUGGUGAUAAUAAAAGGCUUGUUCUGCUCCAUGUCCAUCAUAUUACGUGAGGAACGUGUUCAAUCAACCAGGAUCUGGCUGCAGGGGAAUGCAGCCUGUUUGAAAUGGAAAUUUGUGUUGGUUCAUCCUCUGCCACCCCGAAGAGUCACAAUGGAAAUCCCCUUCUAAUUUAUUGGCAUGAAUCAGUUCCAAAUGAAUAAAUUAGGUGAAUAUUUUUUGUGUGUGGACUGAUGCCAUUUGUAAUUCCUUUAAAAAACAUUAUGUGAAGCUGCAGAAAAUGGCCCAUCUAGAGCCUUUGAUAAACAUUCUUAUCUAAAUGUGAGAUGUUGAAAUGUGAUCUGCUCAGACAGAGCAGAAAGCCUAAGGCGUGUGAGUGUAUGUAUGCCUCACUUGCCUUUCAUUUGCAGGACUAAGGGCCUGCUUUAUCAGCUCCACCACUGCAGCUGGCAGUAAUGUGUGCCCACCCAUGUAGACAACUCUUUCAACUUAAGACAGCGAAAUACAUCUUAUGCAGACACAAACCCUUGCAAAUUAAAAUGUGUGGCAGUGCAUUUAUGACUGUGUGUGCCAGCCAGCUGGCUUGAGGAUAAUUCAAAAUAUCUUGGCUGAUUUACAGAGUCUCUUCAGGCUUUAGAGAGGUCUGCCUCAUGACUCAAGACAGAGCAGGGACUGUACAGGGACAGCCAAGCCUAAUGAGUGCACUGGUGCCAAAUCCAGAACAACUAAGAAUGUUUGAACAGCUCAGAAAACCAAACACACAAUAAUAUAUCAAUCAGAUACAAAGCAAUAAUGUAAACAUAAUAAGAAAUUAAUUAAAGCAAAGAUACAUGUCAGCUUUAAAGUUUGAAAAUGCAAUAGAUAUAUGAGCAAAUUAAGAUGUUUUUUUUAGUUGGUUUUUUUUACAACAAAGAACAUAUUCUGAUUUUUGCAGAAAAAAAACUUUUCAAGUCCAUUAAAAGAUUGGAGGAUAUAACUGUUAACUAAAAAUGCAAGUUAAUGGAGUUGUUUUCUAAUAACAAGCUAUUGUUAUAUGCAAAUAAAACAAGAUUUUGAAAAGAAA